rnacentral:rRNA from 2 species
GUGAGUAACACGUGGGAAACCUGCCCAGAAGCGGGGGAUAACACCUGGAAACAGAUGCUAAUACCGCAUAACAACUUGGACCGCAUGGUCCGAGUUUGAAAGAUGGCUUCGGCUAUCACUUUUGGAUGGUCCCGCGGCGUAUUAGCUAGAUGGUGGGGUAACGGCUCACCAUGGCAAUGAUACGUAGCCGACCUGAGAGGGUAAUCGGCCACAUUGGGACUGAGACACGGCCCAAACUCCUACGGGAGGCAGCAGUAGGGAAUCUUCCACAAUGGACGAAAGUCUGAUGGAGCAACGCCGCGUGAGUGAAGAAGGGUUUCGGCUCGUAAAACUCUGUUGUUAAAGAAGAACAUAUCUGAGAGUAACUGUUCAGGUAUUGACGGUAUUUAACCAGAAAGCCACGGCUAACUACGUGCCAGCAGCCGCGGUAAUACGUAGGUGGCAAGCGUUGUCCGGAUUUAUUGGGCGUAAAGCGAGCGCAGGCGGUUUUUUAAGUCUGAUGUGAAAGCCUUCGGCUCAACCGAAGAAGUGCAUCGGACACUGGGAAACUUGAGUGCAGAAGAGGACAGUGGAACUCCAUGUGUAGCGGUAGAAUGCGUAGAUAUAUGGAAGAACACCAGUGGCGAAAGCGGCUGUCUGGUCUGUAACUGACGCUGAGGCUCGCACGUAUGGCUAGCAGACAGGAUUAGAUACCCUGCUAAGCCACCCCGUAAGAGAAGAAU